UGCGACUGCACCUUCCAAAGUGGCUCCCUCAGGGUCCGUGAUGGGGGAGGCUGGUGGGGAAACCAGAGUGGCUCAUGGAGUUGGAGCCCCUCAGUUGAAAGCUCCCAGGCCCCCUCCAGAGAAGCUUGGCUGCUUCCUGGCCGAGCUCACCUGGAAACUGCUCUCCAGUCCUUUAUGUGGCUACCUUGCCAGCUGCUCCCUGGUGCCAAGAGGAGAAGGAUCAAGGAUGAUGUCUGGCCGCAGGAAGGCAGUGACAGUGUCAUUACCCAGCUCCGUGCUGCCCCAGGACAGCCGGACCAGCACUCUGCCCACCCACAGCCCGCAUGGCCUGCAGCUGGUCACCUCUAGAAAAGAAAAGAAAAUGUCUGGCAGAGGGGAUGCACUUAUAGUGCCUGAAGAAAACACGACAGAGAACAACACUUCUUCAUGAACCAAAAGGCCCAGGGGUCCCCACACACGGAGGUGGUGACCAGUGUCGGCUCCCAGAGGCUAACGGGGAGAAAUGUGAUUCGUGGCAGGAGGUGUAAUGAGGAUAAAACGUGAGGUAUCUUCUCAAAAAUUUCCUCCCCAAGAAAGCUGUUUCCAGAUCAGUAUUGUCUAACUUCAAGCAUUCGGAACCCUCUCAAAUGCCCCCCAUUCCUGGGGAGCAUGUAGGCAGCUCUUAAGAGACAUGCAUUCGGA